UACGGAGGGUGCGAGCGUUGUCCGGAAUCAUUGGGCGUAAAGGGCGCGUAGGUGGCGGCUUAAGCGUGCGGUGAAAGCUCGGGGCUCAACCCCGAGUCGGCCGUGCGAACUGAGUCGCUUGAGCACUGUAGAGGCAGGCGGAAUUCCCGGUGUAGCGGUGAAAUGCGUAGAUAUCGGAAGGAACACCAGUGGCGAAAGCGGCUUCCUGGUCCAGCACCGACGUUCAGGCACGAAAGCGUGGGGAGCAAACAGG
rnacentral:rRNA from 1 species